UACGAAGGGGGCUAGCGUUGCUCGGAAUCACUGGGCGUAAAGGGUGCGUAGGCGGGUCUUUAAGUCAGGGGUGAAAUCCUGGAGCUCAACUCCAGAACUGCCUUUGAUACUGGAAAGCUUGAGUUCGGGAGAGGUGAGUGGAACUGCGAGUGUAGAGGUGAAAUUCGUAGAUAUUCGCAAGAACACCAGCGGCGAAGGCGGCUCACUGGCCCGAUACUGACGCUGAGGCACGAAAGCGUGGGGAGCAAACAGG
rnacentral:rRNA from 1 species